GUCUGUCUUGGCAGCCUUUGAAG
rnacentral:snRNA from 1 species